rnacentral:rRNA from 1 species
GCCGAACGCUCGCAGGCCGCCUACCGCAUGAAAGUAGAACGAAAAGGCCCUGCUUUUGUGGGGUGCUCGAGUGACGAACGGGUGAGUAACACGUGAGUAACCUACCCUUGACUUUGGGAUAACUUCAGGAAACUGGGGCUAAUACCGGAUAGGAGCUCCUGCUGCAUGGUGGGGGUUGGAAAUUUUCGGCGGUUGGGGAUGGACUCGCGGCUUAUCAGCUUGUUGGUGGGGUAGUGGCUUACCAAGGCUUUGACGGGUAGCCGGCCUGAGAGGGUGACCGGCCACAUUGGGACUGAGAUACGGCCCAGACUCCUACGGGAGGCAGCAGUGGGGAAUAUUGCACAAUGGGCGGAAGCCUGAUGCAGCAACGCCGCGUGCGGGAUGACGGCCUUCGGGCUGUAAACCGCUUUCGCCUGUGCCGAAGCGUGAGUGACGGUAAUGGGUAAAGAAGCACCGGCUAACUACGUG